GAUGGUGGGAGGUGUCCCUGCCAUGGCAGGGGUGGCACUGGAUGGGCUCUGAGGUCCAUCCCAACCCAAACUCUGACUCCCUGACUCAGUGGAGCUGCCUCAGAUGUAUCCAGCUCCAAUCCAGCACCCAAAGCCCAGCCCUGGCAGCUGUGGGUGUGAGGGGUGACCAUGACAUCAGACACAGCCACAUCCCUGCCCUCACUGCCACACUGGUGGGCCCUGCCCAGCUCUCCCAAGGGCUUUGUGUUUGUGCUCCAGGCUGGAGGAGACAUUUCACUGCUUGGCUGCUGCUUCAGCCCAAACCAGGCUGUCUCUGGUGUGGUGGAGCUGGGUCCUGGCCUCCAGGGCCAGGCUGAUGGCAAUCCAGGAUCCAGGGUCACGUCAAGGAGGGCUGAACCUCUGUCCCUCUCCCAUGCCUUCCAGUCAUUCUCUGGCUUUCCUGCAGGUUGGUGAUGCCUUGAGGAGAUUCAAGCUUUAUUUUAAACACAAAUCUUGUUGUUUGAGCAGGAUGUGUCUUAGGAACAGAUGUCCAGCAAGGACAUAUUGGGGAAGAACUGGAAAACAUUGAGAAUCCUGAGCUUUGUCAUCUCCUCAUUGCACUGGGAUGGCCAGCACUGGACAAAACCUGGUCUGCAAGGGUGGUGAGCAAAAAUGAGAGAAAACUGACUCAUUAAGAGUGUGGCUUUGGAAAGGGAGUUUCCUGCUGUUUGGAGUCCUUGCUGGUUUGGUUCUUGCUUGUUCCCAUUACAUAAUAUAUUGCAUUUGGCACUGCUGUGUGAAAGUAGGAAGAGGGGAAGCUGGAGCAGAAGGAGCUUCACUCAAAAACUCAUCUCCAGGUCCCAGCCCUUCCUGUCCCACUAUAAAUCAGACGAGUUUGGACACCAGCUACAAUUUUGGAGAGGUAAAGUCAUCAUCAAAGUUUCCAGACCUCAGAGAGAUGACAAAGCCCUUCCAUGAGGACCCCAGCAAGUGCCUUAGAGGGACAAAGAGCCCCAGAGCACAGUCUUGGUUUUGGCAAGGGGAUGAGGAAGGAACCCAAACCCCUCCAGCCUUCCUAGAGUGUCCCAAAGGAACUGAGAAAUCUGUGGUGUGAGGCAGGGAGGGGAGAGCAGAGGGGCCUGGCAGGGUGAAACAUCUGCCCCUGGUGUCUGGAGGCUGCUAAGUUUUAAUUUGGGAAUUUCUGGUCUGAUAACAGAGAGAGAAAAUGGGGAACAGGGUGGGAGGCACAUAGAAACUGGGAAGCCCCAGCUGAGGUCUGGAGGUGGGUUGGAAGUUCCUGCUAUUUCUGCUGUCCCUGCAGGACUUUGUCCUGUACUUUGUGGUGCAUUUUUUACUGUUAUGACCCUUUUAAGACCUGAAGCCUGCCUGGAACAUCUCCUCCCUCCCCAUGUCCUACAGCCCAGCUGCCAAGUCUGGGAGCAUCCCCAUGGCACAGGGAUAUUUCUCUGGACAUGGAUUUGUUGCUUCAGAACCGGCUGCUCAGUCCUGUGGGGCCAACCUGGAGCCCUGGGAAAGGUGGUAAAUCCACCAGGACCUGCUCUCCAGUGGGUGCCAUCAUCCCAAAGGGGCUGGUGGUCUGUGGGAGGAGCUGAGGAACAGCUCCUUAUUCCUACAGGAGGCAGAGCCCUCUGGUUCCUGGUGCCCUGGGUUGUUUGCAGGUCUCUUCAGAGCACAGGGAAGCAGCUCCUUCACUGGGAAUUAUUUGGGAUCUGCAGCCCCCAGUGCCGGAACCUGUCUGGGUAAAUGCACCAACGCUCCAUCCCUCAGGAAGGCCAAAAAAGGGGAGGAUUUGUGAUCACUGGGAUGUUAAAUAUUGCCAGGCUGUUCCACCCAAAGCUUCACUUCCCAUAAAUCUCCCUUUGCCUCAGUUUCCCGUGGCACGGCUGUUCUAGACUGUGUGCCACAGCCCCAGCCCUUGGCUGGACAAAUAUCAGGGCCACCUUCCCAAUCCCAAAUGGCACUUCCAGGGAUAAUUCCUUGGAGUGAAAUCACAUCCUCCUAUUCUCCUGGGAGUGACAAACUGCAAAUCUUUAAAGAGAGCAGUGAUCAGCCCUGAGUGGUGCUGAGCUGUGAGAAAAGGGAUCAUGGAACAAUUACAGGAAGCAGCUGAGACUAAAAGUAGGAUUUAACAGGAUCUGGAUCUUCUGUCCCCCUGACCUGAAUGAGCUCCUGCUGCCAGGGAAAAGAGCAAAACCUCUGAGAUUUGUGAAUUGGAGUUUUUAGGGCACACGUGGAUUCGAGGCUGGGCAGAGAGGCUUUGAUGUGGAGCUGCUCCAGAUAGCUGUGGGUCAUUCCAGGGGCUGAUGGAUGAGCCCAUGGAUGGCUCUCCCUCCACUGUCACUGUGGUGUUCUGCCCUGGCUGGUGGCCUGGGGGUGUCCCUUACCCCUCUGUGGUCCCAGUGACAUUGACAAGUUGCAGGAGAUCCUGGAGCCAUCCCCGGGGCAGGGUCCUGUGCUGUGCUCAGGCUCAGACACCAAUGUCACAGCAGGAUGUCCCUCUCUGUUGCCUCUCUGCUCUUCACAGACCCUGCAAAGCUCAUUUCACGCAGCAGCACAUCCACAGCUCCUGACUGGUGACAAAGGUGUUCCAUGUGUGUUUUGUGUCCCUGCCAGCCCAUGGAUAGAUGGAUCUUGUCACCAUGCUGGGUGGCCUGAGCUCCAGCCAGUCCUGGGAGUGAGAUCUGUGACUGGACCACAGUGACCUGCAGGGACCAGGACCAGAGAGCAGGACCUUGUGUGCUCCUUGUCCUGCUCAGCUCUGCAAACCUGUCCCCAGCAGGAUUCCUCCAUCACUGGGAGUGAUUGAGACAUCCCCAACCCUGGAGGUGACCAGGACAGGGCAGUCAGGGUAUUCCUUGGUGACUCCACCACCUCCCUGGGCAGUCCCUUCUAAUGCCUGACCACCCUUUCCAUGAAGAAAUUCUUCCUGAUGUGCAGCCUGAACCUCUCCUGGAGCAGUUUGAGCAUUUCCUCUUGUCCCAUCUAUGCUCCGAGCUGUGGUUCAUUAAACCAAGGUGGUACCAGCCCAGAGAGCUCCCAUCUUCCCUCACCAGUUCCACACCACCUCAAACCCAGGAGAGGAGACAGCAGAUCCCCUUGGCUGUGUUUUCCAGCUUAACCAAAUCCCUGAAGCCAUGAGGAAGGGCCCUGGUGAUCAGAACAGGCAUCAGAAGCUUUGCAGGCUCAUGAUGUGCAGCCAGCCCUCCCGGGCAUGUGGAGCCUGCCCAGGUAUCAGCUGUGGGAAUCAGCUCAUGCAGAGGAUGCUCCAUCUCCUGCUGGCUCCCUCCAGCUCUGCUGAAACACCUGGGGAUGUGGAGCUACAGGAACAUCCAAUCUGCUCCAGGCCUUCCAUCAUCCACACCUCUGCAAGGAGAUGGCUCUGCUUGGCAGAUCUGAAAUCUCCAUGCUGACAGAUGGGAUCUGACAGGAGCAGCACAGCUGGCAGACAGGAGACAUUCCUUCCCUUCCUGAAACCUCCCAAGUGCUCCUCAAUAACGCCAGUGCUUGGGAAGCUCUGUGGUUCCUGCAGGAAUCAUCUCCCAGGUGGAUGUUUGGUUCCUCAGGGGAAGGAGGCAGCAGCUGUGCAUCAGCACAACCAUUGCACAACCCCCAGCUGGAGCUGAUGGAUCCAGCUGAAAGAGGAAUUUUGGGUCAGUGGAAUAUUGCUGUCAGCACUGGGCUGUGCCCAGGUUGCCAUGGGGACACCUGUGCCUUUAGGGUUUGGGUCGUGCAGGGAAUCAAGGUGCUCUUUCACCCCA